CUUGUGGGAAGACCGUCUCCAUACAAUAACAAAGAUACAACUCUUAGCGGUGGAUAUCUUGUUCUC
rnacentral:rRNA from 1 species